GACGAACGCUGGCGGCGUGCUUAACACAUGCAAGUCGAACGGAAAGGCCCUGCUUUUGUGGGGUGCUCGAGUGGCGAACGGGUGAGUAACACGUGAGUAACCUGCCCUUGACUUUGGGAUAACUUCAGGAAACUGGGGCUAAUACCGGAUAGGAGCUCCUGCUGCAUGGUGGGGGUUGGAAAGUUUCGGCGGUUGGGGAUGGACUCGCGGCUUAUCAGCUUGUUGGUGGGGUAGUGGCUUACCAAGGCUUUGACGGGUAGCCGGCCUGAGAGGGUGACCGGGCACAAUGGGACUGAGAGACGGCCCAGACUCCUACGGGAGGCAGCAGGGGGGAAUAUUGCACAAUGGGCGGAAGCCUGAUGCAGCAACGCCGCGUGCGGGAUGACGGCCUUCGGGUUGUAAACCGCUUUCGCCGGUGACGAAGCGUGAGUGACGGUAAUGGGUAAAGAAGCACCGGCUAACUACGUG
rnacentral:rRNA from 1 species